rnacentral:rRNA from 1 species
UACAGAGGUGGCAAGCGUUGUUCGGAAUUACUGGGCGUAAAGGGCGCGUAGGCGGCUUGGUCAGUCCCGUGUGAAAUCCCUCAGCUCAACUGAGGAACUGCACGGGAAACUGCCUGGCUUGAGUUCGGGAGAGGGAAGCGGAAUUCCGGGUGUAGCGGUGAAAUGCGUAGAUAUCCGGAGGAACACCGGUGGCGAAGGCGGCUUCCUGGACCGACACUGACGCUGAGGCGCGAAAGCUAGGGGAGCAAACGGG